rnacentral:rRNA from 1 species
UAGGGAAUCUUCGGCAAUGGACGAAAGUCUGACCGAGCAACGCCGCGUGAGUGAAGAAGGUUUUCGGAUCGUAAAACUCUGUUGUUAGAGAAGAACAAGGACGUUAGUAACUGAACGUCCCCUGACGGUAUCUAACCAGAAAGCCACGGCUAACUACGUGCCAGCAGCCGCGGUAAUACGUAGGUGGCAAGCGUUGUCCGGAUUUAUUGGGCGUAAAGCGAGCGCAGGCGGUUUCUUAAGACUGAUGUUAAAGCCCACGGCUCAACCGGGGAGGGUCAUUGGAAACUGGGGGACUGGAGUAGUGAAGAGGGGGGUGGAAUUCCAUGUGUAGCCGUGAAAUACGUAGAUAUAUGAAGGAACACCAGUGGCGAAGGCGGCUCUCUAGACUGUAACUGACGCUGAGGAUCGAAAGCGUGGGGGGCAAACAGG